rnacentral:rRNA from 1 species
GGACAAAGACUGACGCUCAGGUGNGAAAGCGUGGGGAGCAAACAGGAUUAGAUANNNGGUAGUCCACGCUGUAAACGAUGUCGAUUUGGAGGUUGUGCCCUUGAGGCGUGGCUUCCGGAGCUAACGCGUUAAAUCGACCGCCUGGGGAGUACGGCCGCAAGGUUAAAACUCAAAUGAAUUGACGGGGGCCCGCACAAGCGGUGGAGCAUGUGGUUUAAUUCGAUGCAACGCGAAGAACCUUACCUACUCUUGACAUCCACAGAACUUUCCAGAGAUGGAUUGGUGCCUUCGGGAACUGUGAGACAGGUGCUGCAUGGCUGUCGUCAGCUCGUGUUGUGAAAUGUUGGGUUAAGUCCCGCAACGAGCGCAACCCUUAUCCUUUGUUGCCAGCGAUUCGGUCGGGAACUCAAAGGAGACUGCCGGUGAUAAACCGGAGGAAGGUGGGGAUGACGUCAAGUCAUCAUGGCCCUUACGAGUAGGGCUACACACGUGCUACAAUGGCAUAUACAAAGGGCGGCAAGCUAGCGAUAGUGAGCGAAUCCCAUAAAGUAUGUCGUAGUCCGGAUUGGAGUCUGCAACUCGACUCCAUGAAGUCGGAAUCGCUAGUAACCGCGGAUCAGAAUGCCGCGGUGAAUACGUUCCCGGGCCUUGUACACACCGCCCGUCACACCAUGGGAGUGGGUUGCAAAAGAAGUAGGUAGCUUAACCUUCGGGAGGGCGCUUACCACUUUGUGAUUCAUGACUGGGGUG